UCAGUUUAUUUUUGACUCUGUGAACUUGAAGUGGGUAAGGUGACUUCUUGGAGCCAGUACUGGGUUUUGUCUAUAUCUUAACUCUACUGGAUCAUCUCGGCAGAGAAGAAUAAAAUACAGGGUUGAAGUUAUCGUUGCGGAUUUUGACAUUGAUUGGAUGUACUGGAUCAUCUCUGCUGCUCAGAAGAAACAAAAUGCUAGUCUUAUGUAGUGCGGGUGUAUUAUAAAAGUUUGUGAAAAAGUGGUGUCUGUAGAUAUUUAGGAAACUGUACUGGAUCAUCUUGACUCGGAAAACUUAAAUACAGGGUUGCAGAUUUUGACAUGGAUUGGAGGAUGUACUGGAUCAUCUCUGCUGCUCAGAAGAAACAAACUGCUAGUCUAUGUAGUGCGGGUGUAUUAUAAAAGUUUGUGAAAAAGUGGUGUCUGUAGAUAUUUAGGAAACUGUACUGGAUCAUCUUGACUCGGAAAACUUAAAUACAGGGUUGCAGAUUUUGACAUGGAUUGGAGGAUGAUGUACUGGAUCAUCAAUGCUGCUCAGAAGAAACAAACUGCUUGUCUAUGCAGUGCGGGUGUAUUACAAAUGUUUGUAGAAAAGUGGUGUCUGAAGAUAUUUAAGUGAGCAUACCAUGAAAAGCCUUCCAUUUCCCUAAGUGGUUUUUUUUUUUUUUUUACUGGGAUGCCUCUAAUGGCCAAGUAGACAUAAU